rnacentral:rRNA from 1 species
AUUGAACGCUGGCGGCAUGCCUUACACAUGCAAGUCGAACGGUAACAGGUCUUCGGAUGCUGACGAGUGGCGAACGGGUGAGUAAUACAUCGGAACGUGCCUAGUAGUGGGGGAUAACUACUCGAAAGAGUGGCUGAUACCGCAUGAGAUCUACGGAUGAAAGCAGGGGAUCGCAAGACCUUGUGCUACUAGAGCGGCCGAUGGCAGAUUAGGUAGUUGGUGGGAUAAAAGCUUACCAAGCCGACGAUCUGUAGCUGGUCUGAGAGGACGAUCAGCCACACUGGGACUGAGACACGGCCCAGACUCCUACGGGAGGCAGCAGUGGGGAAUUUUGGACAAUGGGCGAAAGCCUGAUCCAGCAGUGCCGCGUGCAGGAUGAAGGCCUUCGGGUUGUAAACUGCUUUUGUACGGAACGAAAAGCCCUGGGUUAAUACCCUGGGGUCAUGACGGUACCGUAAGAAUAAGCACCGGCUAACUACGUGCCAGCCGCCGCCGUAA